rnacentral:rRNA from 1 species
UGGGUUAGUCCGCACGAGCGCACCCUGCCCUUAUUGCCAUCGGGUCAGCCGGGCACUUUAGGGGGACUGCCGGUGACAAGCCGGAGGAAGGUGGGGAUGACGUCAAGUCCUCAUGGCCUUUAUGACCAGGGCUACACACGUGUUACAAUGGGAGCUACAGAGGGAUGCUAAGCCGCGAGGCCAUGCUAAUCCCAGAAAAGCUCUCUCAGUUCGGAUCGCAGUCUGCAACUCGACUGCGUGAAGCUGGAAUCGCUAGUAAUCGCGGAUCAGCACGCCACGGUGAAUACGUUCCCGGGCCUUGUACACACCGCCCGUCACACCAUGGGAGUGGGUUGCUCCAGAAGUAGAUAGUCUAACCCUCGGGAGGACGUUUACCACGGAGUGAUUCAUGACUGGGGUGAAGUCGUAACAAGGUAGCCCUAGGGGAACCUGGGGCUGGAUCACCUCCUU